AAGCUUACCAAGACGAUGAUGUGUAGCUGGACUGAGAGGUCGAACAGCCACAUUGGGACUGAGACACGGCCCAAACUCCUACGGGAGGCAGCAGUAAGGAAUUUUUGGCAAUGGAGGAAACUCUGACCGAGCGACGCCGCGUGAACAAUGAAGUACUUCGGUAUGUAAAGUUCUUUUAUUGAAAAAGAAAAAAUAGUGGAAAAACUAUCUUGACAUUAUUCAAUGAAUAAGCCCCGGCUAAUUAUGUGCCAGCAGCCGCGGUAAUACAUAAGGGGCGAGCGUUAUCCGGAAUUAUUGGGCGUAAAGGGUGCGUAGGCGGUUUGAUAAGUCUAUAGUUUAAAUGCAGUGCUUAACGCUGUAGCGCUAUAGAAACUGUCUGACUAGAGUUAGAUAGAGGCAAGCGGAAUUCCAUGUGUAGCGGUAAAAUGCGUAAAUAUAUGGAGGAACACCAGAGGCGUAGGCGGCUUGCUGGGUCUUAACUGACGCUGAGGCACGAAAGCGUGGGGAGCAAACAGGAUUAGAUACCCUGGUAGUCCACGCCGUAAACGAUGAGUACUAAGUGUCGGGUUUCGACUCGGUACUGAAGUUAACACAUUAAGUACUCCGCCUGAGUAGUACGUACGCNAGUAUGAAACUUAAAGGAAUUGACGGGACCCCGCACAAGCGGUGGAUCAUGUUGUUUAAUUCGAAGAUACACGAAAAACCUUACCAGGUCUUGACAUAAUUUUGCGACAUUAUAGAAAUAUAAUGAAGGUUAUCAGAAUUACAGGUGGUGCAUGGUUGUCGUCAGCUCGUGUCGUGAGAUGUUAGGUUAAGUCCUAAAACGAGCGCAACCCUUGUCGUUAGUUGCGACCACGUAAUGGUGA
rnacentral:rRNA from 1 species